rnacentral:RNase_P_RNA from 1 species
AAAGAAAGCAAGAUAAUCGCAUGUAUUCUUACAGGAGAAAAGUGGGAGCUCCAAAGAGCGGGGUGCUGGGUACCGCCUGGGGGGAGCGAUCCAAGGGAUGGUGCAAAAAAAAAAAACCGCCACUAUUGUGGUAAGGAUGGAAAGGCGAGGUAAGAGCUCACCAGCAGCUAGGCGACUAGUUGGCUAUGUAAACCCCA